AUCCACCUUUAGUUCCAGCUAUUUGAGAGGCUGAAGUGGAAGAGUUCCUUGAGCCUGGGAGGCAGAGGUUGCAAUGAUCAGAGAUCACACUACUGCACUCCAGCCUGGGCAACAGCAUAAGACUUCAUCUCAAAAAUUAAAAAAAAAAAAAAAUACAAGCCACAAAACAUUCAAUGUAUUGCCCCUCCAUAUGCUUGGGAUUCGAUUCUAAGAUAUUAUAUAUUUAAUGUUCACUGUACAUGGUCAAUGAUAAUUUUAAGGAUAUCUAAUGAGUAAGGAAGAUUAUCAGUUAAAUAUUCUCUUUGAAUGUAAUAUUCAAUGACUUCACUGAGACAGGAGUUUUUAGUUCCAAGGACCUGAGACAAAAGUAUACCUAAUACUUAAAAAGCUAGAAAAAGAUUAUUUGCAUAUUUUAUGUAAUACUAACAAAAUAUGUCAUGAGAUAUUGAGCAUUAGACUAAUAAAACCAGAAGGAUUUUGCUAUUGGAAGAUAUUGCAAAAUGUAUGACCUUAAAUGAAAACAAAAGAU
rnacentral:lncRNA from 10 species